GAUGAAGAACGCAGCGAAAUGCGAUAAGUAAUGUGAAUUGCAGAAUUCAGUGAAUCAUCGAGUCUUUGAACGCACAUUGCGCCCCCUGGUAUUCCGGGGGGCAUGCCUGUCCGAGCGUCAUUGCUGCCCUCAAGCACGGCUUGUGUGUUGGGCCCCGCCCCCCGGCUCCCGGGGGGCGGGCCCGAAAGGCAGCGGCGGCACCGCGUCCGGUCCUCGAGCGUAUGGGGCUUCGUCACCCGCUCCGUAGGCCCGGCCGGCGCCCGCCGGCGACCCCCCUCAAUCUUUUCCGGUUGACCUCGGAUCAGGUAGGGAUACCCGCUGAACUUAAGCAUAUCAAUAAGCGGAGGA
rnacentral:misc_RNA from 1 species